GGGAGACAUCUGAGAUGUACAAUAACAUGAACACAGUCUUGUGUUGGGUCUUGAAUGUGAAAAAUGAAAAUCUAUGUCCCAAAAUAAGGCUAUGGGAAGUUGGAAGUAUAGACUCAAGCUCUAUGACAUGUUAGAAACAUCCUCUACAAAGACCAGAAAGUUGCACAGUUGGGGAAUGAACUUUAUUUUAUAAAAGAAAGGUUUGUAGCACAAGGCAGAAAAAAGGAGAACAAACGCAAACAGCUAUGAACAGAAUCCAGGGACCCCCCACGGGUAGAGAAGGGGCCCCGUUACAGCCCAAUCAAAGAAGCAAGGGAACAAGACUGACAUUGUUCCGAUUGAAAGUGAUUUUUACACUACAAACAUUAGAAUGGGCUGAGCUAAAUGUACAGUAUGAGUCAGACAGGCAGACAGACAAACUGACAGACAUAGUUUAUGUCUUUCACAGGAACCCAAACACAGAACCCCAUAGUCAUAUUUUAUAUAUUGACAAGACAAACGAAACAGGAAAAAAAAGUUACAGCUUUACAUACAUUGAUUGACCACUUUAAGACCAGAGUCGACAUGUUGCAUGGGGCAAUUUCAAGAGGGAGUCAGGGGUGGGGGAUGGGGAGAAGGAGAGAGAUCCCAUCUUGUUUUUUAUUUUAUUGAAGUAACAUCAAACCUGCGUGUGGAGGUAAGCAUGUCACUGGGGAGUACGAAGGAAGCGAUUCCCUUUAAAAAAGGGUCUCCCUUAACCAUAUCCCCACUCGCUUUGUAAUUCGCCUUGACAGUAAAUCAAUUCUCAAGCCUGGCCCCUUGGACUCCUACAACCCUGGGUCCUCCUCUCCCCUAACAUUCCUGCACACAUGAAUCAUUCCGACUCCUGGCUUCUAGAAGGCAUUUCCUGCCCGCCCUCUACUCUCUCCUUCUUUCUCUCUCUCUCUCUCAUUCUCUCUUUCUCUCCCUCUCCUUCUCUCUCUCUCUCUCUCUCUCUUUCUCUUCCUCUACUUCUCUCUCUCGCUCUCUCCCUCUCUCGCUAUUUAUCUUCUUCUAUUUCUCUCUCUCUCUCUCCUUCUCUCUCUCUCUCACUCUCCUUCUCUCUCUCUCUCUCUCUCUUUUUCUCUUCUUCUAUUUCUCUCUCUCUCACUCCUUCUCUCUCUCUCUCCCUCUCUCGCUAUUUAUCUUCUUCUAUUUCUCUCUCUCUCACUCUCCUUCUCUCUCUCUCUCCCUCUCUCGCUAUUUAUCUUCUUCUAUUUCUCUCUCUCUCACUCUCCUUCUCUCGCUCUUUCUCUCCCUCUCUCGCUCUUUCUCUCCCUCUCUUUCUCUCUCAUUCUCUCUGUUAGUGAAUCCUCUGUUGAAAGUUGGGCAGGAACCUGGCUGAGCUUUGAUUUGGACCCAGAGGGGGAGGAGGAGGAAGAAGAGAAGGAAGAGGAGGUCGAGGAAGAGGAGAACGAGGAAGAUUAGGACGACACGGCAUCUCAACACAGGACCGUGGCAAACCAGGAUGAUUUUGUUGUUUUGUUCUUGCUAUAUUCCCUAUAUAGCACAGAACUUUUAACCUGAGGCCUAAGGGAUACACAUUUGAGAAGCAGACCUGGUCCUAUGGCCUGAUGGAGCUGACUGCCUGCACCAUCCAUCAUCUAUCCAUCCAUCCAUCCAUAUAUCCCUCCCUCCCUCCAUCCAUCUAUCAUCU
ensembl:lncRNA